rnacentral:tRNA from 1 species
UCCGAGUUAGCAGAAAGGUGAAUGUGUGCGGUUUAGGUCCGUGAGGUGUGGGGAUUACACGCUUGGAA